GAUGAACGCUGGCGGCGUGCCUAAUACAUGCAAGUCGAGCGAACAGAUGAGGAGCUUGCUCCUCUGACGUUAGCGGCGGACGGGUGAGUAACACGUGUAUAACCUACCUAUAAGACUGGGAUAACUUCGGGAAACCGGAGCUAAUACCGUAUAAUAUAUUGAACCGCAUGGUUCAAUAGUGAAAUACGGUUUUGCUGUCACUUAUAGAUGGAUCCCCGCCGCAUUAGCUAGUUGUUAAGUUAACGGCUUUCCAAGGGAACGAUGCGUAGCCGACCUGAGAGGGUGAUCGGCCACACUGGAACUUAGACACGGUCCAGACUCCUACGGGACGCAGCAGUAGGGAAUCUUACGCAGUGGGCGAGAGCCUGACGGAGCAACGCGGAGUGAGUGAUGAAGGUCUUCGGAUCGUAAAAAUCUGUUAUUAGGGAAGAACAAAUGUGUAAGUAACUAUGCACGUCUUGACGGUACCUAAUCAGAAAGCCACGGCUAACUACGUG
rnacentral:rRNA from 1 species